rnacentral:rRNA from 1 species
GGUUAGUGGCGAACGGGUGAGUAACACGUGAGUAACCUGCCCUUAACUCUGGGAUAAGCCUGGGAAACURGGUCURAUACCGGAUAGGAGCGCCYACCGCAUGGUGGGWGUUGGAAAGAUUUAUCGGUUUUGGAUGGACUCGCGGCCUAUCAGCUUNGUGGUGAGGUAAUGGCUCACCAAGGCGACGACGGGUAGCCGGCCUGAGAGGGUGACCGGCCACACUGGGACUGAGWCACGGCCCASACUCCUACGGGAGGCAGCAGUGGGGAAUAUUGCACAAUGGGCSMAAGCCUGAUGCAGCGACGCCGCGWGAGGGAUGACGGCCUUCGGGUUGUAAACCUCUUUCAGUAGGGAAGAAGCGAAAGUGACGGYACCUGCAGAAGAAGCACCGGCUAACUACGUGCCAGCAGCCGCGGUAAUACGUASGGUGCGAGCGUUAUCCGGAAUUAUUGGGCGUAAAGWGCUCGUAGGCRGUUUGUCGCGUCUGUCGUGAAAGUCCGGGGCUUAACCCCGGAUCUGCGGUGGGUACGGGCAGACUAGAGUGCAGUAGGGGAGACUGGAAUUCCUGGUGUAGCGGUGGAAUGCGCAGAUAUCAGGAGGAACACCGAUGGCGAAGGCAGGUCUCUGGGCUGUAACUGACGCUGAGGAGCGAAAGCAUGGGGAGCGAACAGGAUUAGAUACCCUGGUAGUCCAUGCCGUAAACGUUGGGCACUAGGUGUGGGGACCAUUCCACGUUUUCCGCGCCGCAGCUAACGCAUUAAGUGCCCCGCCUGGGGAGUACGGCCGCAAGGCUAAAACUCAAAGGAAUUGACGGGGGCCCGCACAAGCGGCGGAGCAUGCGGAUUAAUUCGAUGCAACGCGAAGAACCUUACCAAGGCUUGACAUGUUCUCGAUCGCCGUAGAGAUACGGUUUCCCCUUUGGGGCGGGUUCACAGGUGGUGCAUGGUUGUCGUCAGCUCGUGUCGUGAGAUGUUGGGUUAAGUCCCGCAACGAGCGCAACCCUCGUUCCAUGUUGCCAGCACGUMRUGGUGGGGACUCAUGGGAGACUGCCGGGGUCAACUCGGAGGAAGGUGAGGACGACGUCAAAUCAUCAUGCCCCUUAUGUCUUGGGCUUCACGCAUGCUACAAUGGCCGGUACAAUGGGUUGCGAUACUGUGAGGUGGAGCUAAUYCCAWAAAGCCGGUCUCAGUUCGGAUURRGGUCUKC